GGAGAGUUGGCCGAGCGGUUUAAGGCGCACGCUUGGAAAGCGUGUAACUGGGUAACUGGUUCAUGGGUUCGAAUCCCUUACUCUCCGCCA
rnacentral:tRNA from 1 species